GUCAUGAACCCCUGCAUCGAAUGCGGGGGCUUGCAGCAAGGCUCAUCGUCUCGCUACAAGCCCGGAACAUGACCAGACUCAGGCUUGAAACAGAGCCUACGUUAGGAGCGAAUCCAUAGGCACGUCCGGGUGCGACGCCAGCCCGGACCGCUGCG
rnacentral:sRNA from 25 species